GUGACUGGGGUGAAGUCGUAACAAGGUAGCCGUACCGGAAGGUGUGGCUGGAUCACCUCCUUAAAGGGAGACCUAAUUCAGGUAGGCGACGAAAAAAAAGUAGUCCCAACCAAGAAUCAAUCCCAAAAGGUCGGAGCGAGGCAAGAUUGGCUUUCAAACUAGGUUCUGGGUUCACACAAGACCUGAAUCAGGAACAAGGGCUAUUAGCUCAGGUGGUUAGAGCGCACCCCUGAUAAGGGUGAGGUCCCUGGUUCGAGUCCAGGAUGGCCCACCUGCACAGGUGGAAAAAAGAAAAAAAGCGAGGAAUCAGCACCUUAUCUUAUUUAUAUAAGAGAGAAUGCUGGCUCUGAGUUCAGAGUCCAGAGGAACCUUGAAAACUGCAUAGAGCUAGGUGAAAAAGCCAAAAAAGAAGACCGCAAGGUCAAG
rnacentral:misc_RNA from 1 species